rnacentral:rRNA from 1 species
UCCUACGGGAGGCAGCAAUGGGGAAUAUUGGACAAUGGGGGGAAACCUGAUUCAGCCAUGCCGCGUGGUGAAGAAGGCUUUUUGGUUUAAAACAAUUAAGGAGGAAGGGAGUACAGAGACUAUCUCUGAAGAGUGACGUACUCGCAGAAUAGCCCGAAUUCC